rnacentral:rRNA from 1 species
GACAGAGGCCUCGAGCGUUAGGCGGAAUCACUGGGCUUAAAGCGUGUGUAGGCGGAUCGUUAAGUACCUUGUGAAAUCCCACGGCUUAACCGUGGAACUGCUUGGUAUACUGGCGAUCUUGAGCCACUUAGGGGCUACCGGAACAAAUGGUGGAGCGGUGAAAUGCGUAGAUAUCAUUUGGAACGCCAAUGGUGAAAACAGGUAGCUGGGAGUGUGCUGACGCUGAAGCGCGACAGCGUGGGGAGC